ACAGAUAGACAGGUGCUGCAUGGUUGUCGUCAGCUCGUGUCGUGAGAUGUUGGGUUAAGUCCCGCAACGAGCGCAACCCCUGUCCUGUGUUGCCAGCGUAGAGACGGGCACUCACAGGAGACUGCCGGAGAGAAUUCGGAGGAAGGUGGGGAUGACGUCAAAUCAUCAUGGCCCUUAUACCCUGGGCUACACACGUGCUACAAUGGCAGGCACAGAGGGGAGCGAAGGAGCGAUCCGGAGCGAAUCUCAAAAAGCCUGUCUCAGUUCGGAUUGGGGGCUGCAACUCGCCCCCAUGAAGCCGGAAUUGCUAGUAAUCGCGGAUCAGCCACGCCGCGGUGAAUACGUUCCCGGGCCUUGUACACACCGCCCGUCACACCAUGAAAGCUGACAACACCCGAAGCCGGUGAGCGAACCCGAGAGGGGAGCAGCCGUCUAAGGUGGGGUUGGUGAUUAGGGUG
rnacentral:rRNA from 1 species